ensembl:lncRNA
CAAACCCGGAACCGGCUUUCAGUAAUUCCACGUUGGAAAAGUUAUUCACUUCAAAACGAACUUGAACAGCGUUUUGAGAACACGGGGUGUAGCCUACUUCAGCAAUCUAACAUGCACCACCUUGGUCUCAACCCAGAUCCUUGGCCACGCCCACCUCACCACCCUGACGUCAUCACAUGACAUCAAUAGCAUGGUUCUCACGAGGACGGCCUAAUUGUGCGCCGGCAUUCCUAGCGAGUGUGAUUAAGACAUUACACAAGCACGCCGCUGGGACUCUGGGAGACAGGCCUGGCCUAAUGGAGUCCACACACUGGAACCAGGCUGGCGGGCGACUGCAGUAAACGCUGCUGUGGAGACCACAGGAGGCCCAUUAACUACCGAGACCGUUGCCUCUCCUGGUGAGAGGUUCCACUCUGGGCCGGGCUCGUCCUGGAAGGAAUAUCUGGUUACCCAAACAUCUCGUUUUCAACCCGGUGAUGCCAAGUUGUUCUGAAUAACAGCACUGACAGCACUGGGGCGGGUCCAAUGAGCUACUGUGUUUACAUCGUAAUGUUGCAUCCACUGCGAUGAAAUAAAUGUAAUCUGCUGUGGAUAUGGGGAGUACAAGUCUAGAAAUGACAAAGUGUGAAGGAAAACGCCUACAGCUCCCCCAUUUGAACCUUCAUUGGGGGAGGAUGUGUCUUGAGUGGCCGUAUACACUACUGUCCGAGGUUCUUAGUGGACAAAGUUAGA